CUCUCCCAUGAUCUCUCCUGCCUGGCUCUUACCCAUCUAUCUACAUCAUGGUGCACUGAUUGGCAAAAUUCGAGGAGACUAGCGGGCAAAUAUUAUUUUGAUAUUCAAAGAGAAAUCCCUAGCCGUCCAUGGUUUUUUAAACACCAUCACCUACCCAAAAAAGUAGUUUCUGUCAUUUGUCGUCUCCGUUUGGGUCAUGCAUGUACUCCAGUUCACCUAAACAAAAUUCGAGUGAAAGAUAGUUCGCUCUGCGAAUGCGGCUUGGACGAAGGCUCUGCUGACCACAUAUUUUUUAACUGUCCCAGGGUGUGCACGCUAGACUAUACCUAAUAGCACUCAACCCCAAGGUUUAUAACUUCAUAUACCGUGUAAUGGCUAUGCUCACGUGACAUUGGCAAACGUGGAAACACAGUAGCCAUAGAGGAGAAGAAGAAGAAG